GUACGGCUCAUUAGAGCAGAUAUCACCUUUCUCGGAAUCCUGAAAAGGAUAACUGCGGAAAUUCUGGAGCUAAUACAUGCGACUAUACUCCAACGCAAGGCGGGGUGCAAUUAUUAGAACAGACCAAACGUUUUCGGACGUUGUUUGUUGACUCUGAAUACCGUCGUUUACUGUCAGUUUCGACUGACUCUAUCCGAGAAGGGUGUCUGCCCUUUCAACUAGAUGGUAAUCUAUUGGACUACCAUGGUUGUUACGGGUAACGGAGAAUUAGGGUUCGACUCCGGAGAGGGAGCCUUAGAAACGGCUACCACGUCCAAGGAAGGCAGCAGGCGCGAAACUUAUCCACUGUUGAGUAUGAGAUAGUGACUAAAAAUAUAAAGACUCAUCCUUUUGGAUGAGUUAUUUCAAUGAGUUGAAUAUAAAUUAUUCUUCGAGUAGCAAGGAGAGGGCAAGUCUGGUGCCAGCAGCCGCGGUAAUUCCAGCUCUCCUAGUGUAUCUCGUUAUUGCUGCGGUUAAAAAGCUCGUAGUUGGAUCUAGGUUACGUGCCGCAGUUCGCAAUUUGCGUUAACUGUGGUCGUGACUUCUAAUUUGCUGGUUUGAGGUUGGGUUCGCCCUUCAACUGCCAGCAGGUUUACCUUGAAUAAAUCAGAGUGCUCAAUACAGGCGCUUGCUUGAAUAGCUCAUCAUGGAAUAAUGAAACAGGACUUCGGUUCUUUUUGUUGGUUCUAGAAUUGAUCUAAUGGUUAAGAGGGACAAACCGGGGGCAUUCGUAUCAUUACGCGAGAGGUGAAAUUCGUGGACCGUAGUGAGACGCCCAAUAGCGAAAGCAUUUGCCAAGAAUGUCUUCAUUAAUCAAGAACGAAAGUCAGAGGUUCGAAGGCGAUUAGAUACCGCCCUAGUUCUGACCGUAAACGAUGCCAUCUCGCGAUUCGGAGGGUUCAUGCCCUACCGAGGAGCUACCCGGAAACGAAAGUCUUUCGGUUCCGGGGGUAGUAUGGUUGCAAAGCUGAAACUUAAAGAAAUUGACGGAAGGGCACCACAAGGCGUGGAGCUUGCGGCUUAAUUUGACUCAACACGGGAAAACUCACCCGGUCCGGACACUAUUAGGACUGACAGAUUGAAAGCUCUUUCUCGAUUUGGUGGUUGGUGGUGCAUGGCCGUUCUUAGUUGGUGGAGGGAUUUGUCUGGUUUAUUCCGAUAACGAGCGAGACUCUAGCCU
rnacentral:ncRNA from 1 species